CCGAGUUUCUUUUGCAUAUGGCUUUCUUUUGGAGGGUAGAAUUUGGCAGCGGUGUAGGGAUGGAGAUUGGAAAAUUGGCAGGGUGCGGGUAAACCACCGCAGUAGACAUUAGUUUUUUCUGGGCUUCAGAAUCUUUCUAUAUAUUUAUUUUUAAUGGUUACCAUGCGCGACUAUCCCCUGGUUGGAAUUUCGAGAAGAAACAAAUUUUGGCUUGAUCAUGAAGUCGCGGAGGAGCUAUUAGUUAGUUAACUAGGUGAUCCACCCGCCGCUUACAUAACGGGAUGAAACAUUUGGAUAACUUGUUAACUCCAAUGGCCCUCCCUAUAUCUAGUUAGGUAGAUGGAAGGUAUUGAA
rnacentral:sRNA from 1 species